CGGCUGCGGCAGCGCAGAGCCCGCCGCACUGGGAGCCCUCCCGGUGUCCCCAGAGCAUGCCCCGCCACUGCUGUGCAGAUGCUGCCGAGCAAAGUUGUGACAGAGCUCGACCACAGAGAGCAGCAAAUCCGAGUGGGACGAAACCUGAGCAAAUGAGAAUCCUGCUCCCGGUGGAAGAGAUCCCCUUAUAUGGGAACAUCACGGACAAGAGCAUGAACGCCCAGCCGGGCUGCUGAGACAGUUGUCUAGCCACUUCUCACAGACUCUGACAGGAGAGGAUGAUGUUAACAGCUCGGUAAGUACCAGUGUG